GGAGAGUUGUCCGAGUUGGCCGAAGGAGCACGAUUGGAAAUCGUGUAGGCAUUUAUUAAAUGUCUCAAGGGUUCGAAUCCCUUACUCUCCG
rnacentral:tRNA from 1 species